rnacentral:SRP_RNA from 1 species
AGGAUCGACCGGAGGAUUUGGCCUUUCCCAUGACCUUUAUUGGCCGGCAUGACUGCGUUGGUGCCGAUGCCACGGGUGUGGGUGGACCG